GCCACGGUGGCCCAGCGGUACGGCGCCAGCCUUGAGAGCUGGUUCCCAUAGUGGAUCGGGAGUUCGAAUCUCCCCCGUGGCG
rnacentral:tRNA from 2 species